rnacentral:rRNA from 1 species
GAGCCAAGGCUAGCCCAAUCAUCUACAAACGCAACUAACACUAGAAAGUAAAAUAAAACAUUUAGUUACCCCAUAAAAGUAUAGGAGAUAGAAAUUUAACUUGGCGCUAUAGAGAAAGUACCGCAAGGGAAGGAUGAAAGAAAAAACUAAAAGCACUAUAUAGCAAAGAUUGCCCCUUGUACCUUUUGCAUAAUGAGUUAGCUAGUAACAGCCUAACAAAGAGAACUUCAGCUAGGCCCCCCGAAACCAGACGAGCUACCCAUGAACAAUCUAUUACAGGAUGAACUCGUCUAUGUUGCAAAAUAGUGAGAAGAUUUAUGGGUAGAGGUGAAAAGCCUAACGAGCCUGGUGAUAGCUGGUUGCCCAGAACAGAAUCUUAGUUCAACUUUAAACUUACCUCAAAACCCUAAAAUUCCAAUGUAAGUUUAAAUUAUAAUCUAAAAAGGUACAGCUUUUUAGAACUAGGAUACAGCCUUAAUUAGAGAGUAAGCACAAACACAAACCAUAGUUGGCCUAAAAGCAGCCACCAAUUAAGAAAGCGUUCAAGCUCGACAAUCAAAACAUCUCAAUGUCAAAAAACGUAACCAACUCCUAACCUAAAACUGGGCUAAUCUAUUUAAUAAUAGAAGCAAUAAUGCUAAUAUGAGUAACAAGAAGCAUUUCUCCCGUGCAUAAGCUUAUAUCAGAACGGAUAACCACUGAUAGUUAACAACAAGAUAGAUACAACCUAACUACAAGCAAAAUAUCAAACUAAUUGUUAACCCAACACAGGCAUGCAAUCCAGGGAAAGAUUAAAAGAAGUAAAAGGAACUCGGCAAACACAAGCCCCGCCUGUUUACCAAAAACAUCACCUCUAGCAUUUCCAGUAUUAGAGGCACUGCCUGCCCAGUGACAUUAGUUAAACGGCCGCGGUAUCCUGACCGUGCAAAGGUAGCAUAAUCAUUUGUUCCUUAAAUAGGGACUUGUAUGAAUGGCCACACGAGGGCUUUACUGUCUCUUACUUCUGAUCCGUGAAAUUGACCUUCCCGUGAAGAGGCGGGAAUAUGACAAUAAGACGAGAAGACCCUAUGGAGCUUUAAUUAACCGACCCAAAGAGAUCUUGACAAUCAACCAACAGGGACAACAAACCUCUACCAUGGGUCGACAAUUUAGGUUGGGGUGACCUCGGAGAAUAAAACAACCUCCGAGUGAUUUAAAUCUAGACUAACCAGUCGAAAAUAUUACAUCACUUAUUGAUCCAAAAACUUGAUCAACGGAACAAGUUACCCUAGGGAUAACAGCGCAAUCCUAUUUUAGAGUCCAUAUCGACAAUAGGGUUUACGACCUCGAUGUUGGAUCAGGACAUCCCGAUGGUGCAGCAGCUAUCAAAGGUUCGUUUGUUCAACGAUUAAAGUCCUACGUGAUCUGAGUUCAGACCGGAGUAAUCCAGGUCGGUUUCUAUCUAUUAAAUAAUUUCUCCCAGUACGAAAGGACAAGAGAAAUAAGGCCCACUUUACCAAAGCGCCUUUAACCAAAUAGAUGAUAUAAUCUCAAUCUAGACAGUUUAUCUAAACACAUCGCCCGAGAGCUCGGGUUU